CUCUUGACAGGAACCCAAAAUGAUCUGCGGGAGGUGAGUGGGCCGGGGGGACUGGAGGGCAUCCAGUCUGGGAACUGGGGGACACUUUGGUCCCCCCAUCCCUCGCUGGCACCGGGGACAUCCCAGUGACCAGCCAGGGCUCCUGGUCUCUCUCCAGCUGCAUUUAGUGGACGUUGGGAUCCUGAAGAUGGCUCAGGCUCCCAAUACAUCCCACUGCACCCAGUGUGUCUCUAAACAUGCCUUUGUCCCCACUCCCCUGUGGUGGAGAAGGUGGUGGGUCCUGUUGGUGAGAUGUGGCUGCAUCCCUGGAUGUUUGAGGACUGGUGGUGACACCCGUGCCCUGUCCCACUCCAGUGCCAUGAAGAGAUGAUCAUCCCUGGAG